rnacentral:lncRNA from 1 species
CUCCAUGGCUCCAUCCUCUGGGAAUGUCAUCGGCCGUAGAAUGGGGAUGAGCUGCAUCCCAAAAUUCCCCUGAGCUUCCUGAGCAUCCUGGGAUUGUGGGAAGUGUCCCUGCUCUUGGAAUGAGAUGAUCCACCCAAGAGACCCUCUCCCAAUCCUGGGAUUAUCUCCAAAAUUCCCAGAUUUGGGUUUUAUUUCUCUUCCAGCUUUGGAGCUUGAAAAUUUUCUUUCCAUUUCAGGUUUCUUCCUGUUCCAAUCAUGAUUUCCCUCCCCCCCUUUUUUGAUGUUUUUUCCGCCUUUUCCUUCUUUUCCAAAAUCUGAGGUUUCUUUGCGAUGCCCCCUGAACCCAAAAGCUGGGAUUUUAUGGAAAGGACACGGAAAAAGUGUAAAUUUCCAAUAAAAUCAUCAAAGGUGGCAGCGCUGGGGGUUCCUCCCCUCCUUUCUCUCUGAUCCAUAGAAUGAGAGGAUUGGUGGGAUCCAGCUGGGAUUGGGACAGAUCCUUAAAAACACCUAAAAUUCCCAGGAUUUGGGGUCUCCCUCAGCGCAGACACCUCAGAGGUGUCGAUGUUUGCCCCGGCUGCUCCUUUAGGGUUUUUUGUAGGAUUUCCCCACCCUCCCCCAGGUAGAACAAAUCAGCUCCGCAGCUCCUCAUCCAUCCCCUUUUCCGACGGAAACAAAACAAGCGUGGAAUGGCCGUUUUCCCAGGAUGUGCCCUUCCUUGACCCACCCGGCCACGGAAGUUCAUCCCCGGAGAGUCCUUUUAAAAUCUGGGAUUUGAGGCGGUGUCAGCCCCUUCUGGGGCCUCCUGUCCCGCACGGAUCACCCUCAUUAGCGAGGAAAAGCGGGAUAAACGGAACAGGCUGCGCUCCUGGCGCCAUUCCCAAUGGUUCCUCUUGGAAGUCCCCGCGAUUCCGACGGAUCCUUCCAAGCCGCCUGGGACAGGAAAAAACAACCCCGAUGUGUCCAGAAGACAGAGCGUUCCUCCUCCUCCUCCUCCUUCCCAAACCACAGGACCUCAGGGAAAGAUUAAACUUCCUUAAUGGAUCCUUUUCCACAGCCUUUGCCUUUCCAACUUGGAAAAACACCUUCAGGGUGGAAUUCCCCAUCCUUUUCCAAGGGUUUCCAGCCAUGGGGAUGGAGGCACGGGAAGCAGGGAAGCUGAUUGUCCUGGGGGGAUUGGAGAGCACGGCUUGGGGGGCUGGGAGGGCCCAGGAAUCCCGGGAAUUGUCCCUGUGGAGGGAGGUGGAGAUGGGAUUGAAGAGGAUUCCUGGCAGGGAUGACCCUGGAGAAGUCUCCAAGGCCACCAUGAUCCCAUUUGGAGCUCCAGCGGCAGCUCCUUCAGUUUGGAAUGAUUUUGGAAACCAGGGAUGGAAUUCCCAGCAUCCCUCUCCUGCCUGGGCAAUCUCUGUUUUUCUCAGUUGUGGGUGGGCUGUGAGUGACUCCAAAAUAUUCCCGUGGUUUCAUUCCUGCCCUGGAGAGGCCUGGAUGUGCUGUUUUCCCAUGGGGACACAGCAGGAAAAGUUUGGGAUGUGUCAGGAAAAAAAUUGGGACAAAACUGGGACAAAAUUGGGAUAAAACUUGAACAAAACUGGGAUAAAUUUUAUCCUUCAUGGCGAAGUCUGUUCCUGUUUAGUGCAGCUGGGUGUAAAAUCAGGGAGCUGGGAGUUGUUUUAUCGGGAAGAGAGGGAUCUUAGGAGAAAGAAUGAGGAGGGUGGAAAAAAAUGUGUGGAAAACCUCACUGAGUCCGUCAUUCCAAAAGGAAAAAUAAAGGGGAAAGGGGGAAAUGGGGAAAGAAAAAA